AGGGGGCUGGAGGCGGAGAUGGAGACUCAGGGGCACAACCUAGAGGGGAGGUGCCGAGAAGCUGAGCUCCGGGGGAUGGAUGGCCGGUCGCCGCCGCUGGAGGAGCGGCUGAAAGAGGGAGACUGGGAAAUGGGAGGAGAUGCAGGGAAGGACAUCGGCACCGGAGAGAGAGCCAGCGGCCUUCUCGGAGGCCAGGCAGGCGGGGUGCAAGAUUCACACACGAAAGUCAGUCAUGUUUUAUAUGCUAGCAACCAACAACUGGAAACAAAAAGACAAAACUUGGUAAUAGCUCCAAAAGGAAAGAAAAAGAACAGAGAAAUACUUGCGCAUUACUCUAACAAAACAUACACACGUGUCUAUGCUGGAAACUGUAAAAUGUUGAUGGGAGAACUCAAAGAGGGUACUGAGUCCACGGACUGCAAGACUCAACACAGUACAGAUGCGAUUUCUCCCCACCCUGACCGAAAUGCUUCUCUAGAGCUGCCCUGACACAGAACCACAAACCGGGUGGGUGGAAACCACAGAAAUGGUCUCAGCUCUGGACGCCAGACGUCUGAGGCCUGGGUGUCAGCGGGCCAGCUCUCCCCUAUGGGGCCUGCCUGGCCUCGUCCGGCUUCCAGGGGUUGCCCGCCGUUCUAGGUGCUCCGUGGCAGCAGCUGUAGCGCCUUCACACCUGCCUCUGUUGUGUGAUUUCUCCCGUGUGUCUGUGUUUCUUCUCUAUGGGGACCUCGGGCAUAGUGGGUUAAGGACCCGCCCUAUUCCACUAGGAUCUCGUCUUAACUAAUUACAUCGACAGUGACCCUGUUUCCAAAUAGUCACGUUCCGAGGUGAUAUAUUAGGCCCAGCGUGGACUGCAACCUGUCUUUUGGGGGACAUAAUUCAACCCAUAAAACGGAUCUAUCCGUUGAACACAAUCCAAUCAACUCCCAGUAAGAAUUUUUGUAGAUAUAGACAAGCUGCUUCUAAAAUUUAUGUGGAAAGGCAAAGAAACUAGAACACCUAAAACAAUUUUGAAAAAGGAGAAUAAGGUUGGAGGAAUCGUGUUAUCUGAUUUUAGGGUUUACAACAGGACUCGCAGCAGUAAUCGAGUGUGGUGCCCUGGCCAGGGAGCUCAGUUGGUUGGAGGGUCGUCCUGAUGCACCGAGGUUGUGGGUUCCAUUCCUAGUCGGGGUACAUACAAGAGCCAACCAAUGGCUGGGUGGAUGGGUGGGCAGAGGAAUGGGCAACAAAGACCAAUGAAGCAGAAUAGAGGCUCAAGAAAUAGACCCGCACAAAUACGGCUAAUUGAUUUGGACAAAGGUGCGAAAGCAAGUUAGUGGAGGAAGGAUAGUUUUUGUCAACAAAUGAGCUGGAACAACUGGACACCUAUACACA